GGGGCCUUAGCUCAGCUGGGAGAGCGCGAUGCUUGCAAGUACAUGAGGUCAUCGGUUCGAUCCCGAUAGGCUCCACCA
rnacentral:tRNA from 1 species